AUCAAGCUGACGAGUCUCAAAUAGGAUGAAACGUGCGUCGUGGAU
rfam:Schistosoma curassoni strain Dakar, Senegal genome assembly, scaffold: SCTD_scaffold0008478